AGAGCGAACGCUGGCGGCAGGCCUAACACAUGCAAGUCGAACGGACCCUUCGGGGUUAGUGGCGGACGGGUGAGUAACACGUGGGAACGUGCCUUUUGGUUCGGAAUAGCUCCUGGAAACGGGUGGUAAUGCCGAAUGUGCCCUUCGGGGGAAGAUUUAUCGCCAUUAGAGCGGCCCGCGUCUGAUUAGCUAGUUGGCGAGGUAAAGGCUCACCAAGCCGACGAUCCUUAGCUGGUCUGAGAGGAUGAUCAGCCACACUGGGACUGAGACACGGCCCAGACUCCUACGGGAGGCAGCAGUAGGGAAUAUUGGACAAGUGGGGGCAACCCUGAUCCAGCAAUGCCGCGUGAGUGAUGAAGGCCUUAGGGUUAGUAAAGCUUCGUUUACCGAGUAUAGAUAAUGACAGUAUCGGAGAAUAAGCUACCGGCUAACUCCGUGACCAGCA
rnacentral:rRNA from 1 species